rnacentral:lncRNA from 1 species
AAAAGCUUAAACAUAGUUCAGAAGGUUUGGCUAACAAAACCAUGGCAGCACAUCUACGGCGCCAGAAGAAUGGGAAUACAAAUGUUUUCAAUUCAGCUCAGGCAUGGCCAGUAACAAGUCGCAGGCCUGUGCAAGCAUCAAAUAUCCCUUUGCAAGAUUCUUCUUUUCCUCCUCUCCGCAUUGGUCCCAGCACCAGCCAACAAAAGCCUAAACAUAGCUCAGAAGGUUUGGCUAACAACACCAUGACAGCACAUCUACGGCGCCAGAAGAAUGGGAAAACAACUGUUUUCAAUUCAGGUCAGGCAUGGCCAGUAACAAGUCGCAGGCCUACAUCCCGAUGUCUUUAAGCUUAAUUUAUUAGAUUUCAACUCUAUCAUCUAGGCUUACUGAAAAAUGUAACCGUUUCUUUUUAAUGUUAAAAUAUAUAGUUUGUUCCAAUUUUUAGAUUAAAAUGUAAUAUACAGUUUCUUCACGCUUUUUACUAACACUUAAAUUAAAAAAUAUAUAUAACACCAAUGAGGUCAUGAUGCUUGAACUCAGUAGAGACUCUAACAAAUUAACCACUCUUACUAUCAAGACUAACAAUUUAAUCCAUUGAACCCUCGUUGAUUUUAAAUUUUUUGUGGUACUAUAAACACAAAAUAAAAUGGAACAUCCAAGCGCCUUGGUAAAAAUUUGUGGACUAGCAUCUCCAGCAUUGAUGUUCUCAUUUCAGAGUAGUGCCCUUAAAGGUCAAACAAACCGAUGUCCUCAUCGCCUUGACUCUAACGUGCAUCUUAAAAUUACUUGUGGACGUGAAAAACACGACUAAGGGGAUAAACAAUGCUGCGUCAUCUCAUACGCAAACAACCUACCACCUUCGAUUCCCUCUGCCACCCAUUUUACUUUUGGUCGCACCUGAUUUUUAAAAGCAAAGAACCCAGACACUGUCACGGUUACAUUCCUACUCCCGCUCAUUCAACACCUAGUUCAAUGAAUCCUAAAGGCACCGUCGUUUUCACCUCCGUUGGGAGGCCACAAUACGGCUUCGACAUCUUUACCGUCAAUCUCAAUCAAACUCCCAUCACCAACUCCACCCCUGAACAUCGCCUUACUGACUGUAUUUCCAUCAACUUCAAUGCUCAAUUCAUAAACGAAGAUCAAUCCAUCGUCUUUAUCUCUGAACGAUCGGGGUCCCCUCGGAUUUACCUCACCCACCCGGACCUACCCAAGCCCGAGCAGCUCCCAUCUGCCCCCAGCAGCCUCUUCCACGAUCGACCCAUCAUCCAAAACCACCGCCUUUACUUCAUUUCAGCUCAUGAACAACCUGAUCAACCUUUCAAGAGCUGGUCCGCUCUUUACUCAACCGAGCUCCGCGGUAAAAGAGACACUACAAGGUUGUCUCCUUACGGGGUUGCUGACUACAGUCCUGCUAUUUCAAAAUCUGGGAAAUUUGUAGCCGUUGCCUCAUACGGUUCUCGGCCUUGGGAAGGUGAUUUUCACGAGCUCAAAACGGAUAUAGUUGUUUUCCCAGUAUCCUACCCGAAUAACCGUUUUGUUGUUUGUGAGAAAGGCGGUUGGCCCACUUGGUCAGGUGACUCCACCAUUUUCUUUCACCGCCAAGCCGACGAUGGCUGGUGGAGCAUUUUCCGUCUCGAGUUUCCGGAAAAUCCUAUUGAAUUUUCUGGGUUCCCAGUCCUUCCUCUUCGUGUCACUCCACCUGGUCUCCACUGCUUCACUGCGGCCGCAUUCCAUGACGGAAAACGAAUCGCAGUAGCCACUAGGCGGCGCGGCAAGAAUUACAGACAUAUCGAGGUUUUCGACCUCGAAUCGAAGGUUUUUCACCAAGUGACUGAGUUGCUCAACCCGAGUUUUCAUCAUUAUAACCCGUUUGUCUCCCUCAACUCUGAAUUCCUCGGGUACCACAGGUUCAGAGGUGAGUCGACUCAGGGUGAGUCCACGGUUCCACAUAUCGAGCCAGUCAUGUCUCCGUUAAAAAAUCUACGUAUGCUGCGACUCAACGGAUCAUUCCCUUCCUUCUCUCCCGACGGUGAUCUUCUAGCCUUAAAUCCCACUUUGGAUGAAAGCGGAGGCAUUAAAGUUGUCAAAUCGAACGGCUCGAAACGAUGGACCUUGAUAAAGGGCCGUACGGCAUUUUAUAACUCGUGGAGCCCCACUGAGAAACACGUGAUUUACACUUCCCUAGGCCCGAUAUUCGAGUCAGUUAAAACAACGGUGCAGGUCGCACGAAUCACAUUUGACCCGUCUGAUUUCAACGGUGAUCUUGAAGAGAUCCCUGGCGAUGUAAAGAUGCUUACGCGAGAAGAUACAGGGAAUAACGCCUUCCCGUCUUGCUCCCCUGAUGGAAAGUCCCUCGUGUUCCGUUCCGGCCGUUCUGGACAUAAGAAUCUUUACAUACUUGACGCCGUUAACGGUGAAUUUAACGGCGGUAUACGGAAGUUAACCGACGGUCCUUGGAUUGAUACGAUGCCGUCUUGGUCCCCCAGCGGAGAUCUCAUAGCGUUUUCUUCCAACAUGCAUAAUCCGGAUAGAGUUGAUGCCUUCAGCAUUUACGUGAUUAAACCGGAUGGCUCUGAUCUCAGGAGGAUUUACGUGGCGGGACCGAAGGGGUCGAGUGACGUGGACAGGGAGAGAAUUAACCACGUAUGUUUUAGCCAGGAUGGAGAGUGGCUGCUGUUCGCGACAAACAUAGGAGGCGUGACUGUUGAGCCGGUGUCGUGGCCCAAUCAGUUCCAGCCAUAUGGGGAUUUGUAUGUGGUGAGGUUGGAUGGGAGUGGAUUGAGGAGGCUGACGUGGAAUGGGUUUGAGAAUGGGACGCCAGCAUGGCACCCCGGGAGCGAGCUGGAUAUGGGGCGUUUGUGUUUGGGAAAUGAAGCUGGGGUUAAACUUAAAGGUGACUUUGAGGAACCAUUAUGGAUUACUUGUGAUUUUGCUUAGAGUUUCUUGAUUUCUCUUAUCCUCGUUGCUUGCUAUUGUUGACCCCCACGGGUUUAUUGUAACUAAUUGGAGUAAAUAAAAUUACUAUGGAAAUAUUAGUGUGAUAAUUUAUAUUUACGUAAUAUUUCCAUAACAAAAUAUUAAUGUUUUUAGACGUUUUGGUAUUAAAGUUAAUGACUGAAACCUAAUAUUAAGACAAAUUAUAAAACAACAAAAAUUGGUAUAUGGUGAAAAAUCAUUAGACACAUUGACAUACAUUUAUUAUCGAUCAUCAAAUGCGUGUACAUAUGGUGAAAAUUAUGUAUAUUUAAUUAUUUGAUUAGUAAUGUAAAAUAGCAUACAAAUGAUCAAAUAAAUUAUAAAUAUUAUUACUAUUAAUAAUUAAAAACAAAAAUUGUUUCAUGAAAUAAAUACUUUGGAUGAGGAAAAUAAACUGAAAUAUAUUACCUUCACGUGUUUGAGAAUGUAAAACCAAAACAACACUUAAAAAGAUACCAAAAAAAAAAAUAACAUAAUAUAAAAUUAAAAAAGUUUUUUCAAAAUAUGUCAAAGGUUAUUUGAAAGGCGAUGAAAUCAAUUAGGGCAAGGCUGAGAAACAUAAAUUAAGCAACACAAAACAAAAUUGUAAUCUCCAAAAGAAUAUUUGAUGAAAGAUUAUUAUUAUUAUUAUUAUUAUUAUUAUUUUCUUUAUUAUGAUAAAUUAAUUGUUAUCGCUUGAAAAACAAAAGAGCAUUUUCUGUUGUCCUUUUUCUCUCUUAUUUAUAGUUAUUGAAUUUUCUCAAUAAUAAGAAGAAGAAAUUAAGGAUAAAUAAAAGUCAGUAUUUAUGCACUUAUAUAGAUCUUCUUUAGUUAAACAUUUAGUUGGAAAAGAUUUAAGCAUAAUAUCUAAAAAAAUUUAAAUAAGUCUUUAUAUUUUUAUUGUAUUGAGUCAAAUUCAUAUACUUUUAUUUUGAAUCACAUAAGUUUGUAUAUUUUUUUUAAUCUAAUAAGCCUUUAUGACUAAAUAUUGAUUUAGUCAAAAUAUCAUUCAUUAUUUUAUAUUGCAUGACCCUGACGUAAUAUGUUAAUAUAUUAUAAUUGAUAAUGACAUGAUAUUCUAAUUUGAUAUGAUGGUAUAAUUAUGUGACAUUGUUCAUCUUUCAUAUCAAUGCUAUGAAGAUAUAAAAUAAUAAGUGAUAUUUUAAUUAAUAAUAAUUAAUCGAUUAGUAAUUAAAAUAGUUUAUUUGAAUCAAAAUACAAAUACAAAAACUUGAUUAAACGUAAUGAAAAAAUAAAAAUUUAUUUAAUUUUUUUAACAAUAUAGAAACUUAUUUAAAUAUUACAUCAACAACUUAUUACGUGAUUAUAUUUUUUUUAUGCUUGAUUUCAACCUUAUAUAGAGUGGUUUUUACUCGCUUUUAUAAAAGUGGUGUGCAGUCCACAUGUUGAAUCAGAUAAAUAAGAUGCUUAUUGAACGUGGUCAUUAAUACUAUUUUUAGUAAGAUGGAAAUAGAAAAAAUAAAGUGAAGAGUGGAAGAAAAAUAAUGUUUUUUUUUUAAACAUAGUUUGGUAGGAAGAAGCAGGGUACGAAAUUAGAUGAAUUACAUGUUGUCAUCGUUCUAAAGUAGUAGUAUUUUUGUACGGCACAUGGCCUCCUUCUUAUGACCAGAAAAUCAAGUUUGUCAACUUUAGACUUAAAAAAUAUUUGGUCAAAAUCAGUCCUCAUUUAAAUCAUGAAUGUCCCUCUAUGUUCUCUUUAUCUACUGUAAAGCUUUCUUGGUCUGCAAGUAGGCUGGCUUCCUAAUUUAUUCACUAUAAUCUUUUACAAUAUUAAUAGUGAUUCUUUUCUUUUGGCAAUUGACUCGACUUGAUCAAAUCAAGUUUGGUUGAUGAACAAUUGUUAUUUCAACAAUUUAAAAAUUUGGGUAUUCAAAAUUAACACUAUUUAUUUUCAGAUAUUUAAUAGUAACAUACCAACAUCAAAAUUCUCCUCAAUUUUAAUUUAUGAAUUAUAAAACCUAAAAGCGCACACAUAUAUAUAUAUAUUUAUUUAUUUUAGUGGAAUAAAAUUUAGAAGCCAAAAUAGAUUAAAACGGAUGGGUUUCUCCUUUUCCUUUUUUAUUUAUGGAUAAAAGACCGUGCUCCUUAUUUUUGGAAAAAACAUAAGUUAAAAAAAAUAAAAAAUUAUAAAUAUAUAAGUAAACGUAAUUUGAUUGAAACUUUUAAAUUAAAUUUAACUAAAAUUAGAAUUAAAGGGAUAGUUAGCUUCUAAAUACACAGCUCACUUCAUUUAUAAAAUACAUACUUCAAUAAGAUGUUAUUACUCUUCUAAAUAUUUUUUUAAUUUAUAUUUUAUAACAAAAACGAAUUUUUGUGGCGUGAGGAACAUUAUUCACCACUUUAUUUCCCAAUUUUCAUCCAUUAAUAUUCCCUCCAGAGAUUUUGUUUAUUUAGACAUCAAGAAAUCUAGCAAGCAGAAUAUAACCGGUCACACUAUUCUUUCCUCACCUUCCAAGUUCCCGGUAGGUAGCUUCCCGAAUCCGUGCGCCGCCUCCUGUCCUCCAAAUCUCACGUAAUCAACUAAUUAUCUUUUUUAUUUUCCCUUAACCAAACCACGAUUGCCAUAUAUGGAAUAUUAUUGUCAUAAUCUAUAAAUCUGAAUUAAUUCUGUCUGUGCAAAACAUAAACCCUAGAUCUCCAUAUCUUUAUUAUUUUCUCCGCAGAUUAACUUCCAAUCGAUCGGUAUAGCGGUUAGGGUUUUUUUUUUUGAAGAAUAUUAUCAAGAAACAGAGAUGGACGACAGCUGUGCGGUUUGCGCUGACAAUUUGGAAUGGGUUGCCUACGGCGCUUGUGGUCACCGGGAAGUGUGCUCCACCUGCGUCGCACGUCUACGCUUCAUCUGCAACGAUGGCCGUUGCUGCAUCUGCAAGACUGAGUCCAAUGUCAUCUUCGUCACUAAGGUUAGGGCUUUCUUCUUUCUUUUCAUCGCCAAUCUCAAUUUCAUUGUAAUUAUACCGUUCGAUAUUGUUUUUGUUUGAUUUAAUUAGCCAAUUCUUUCAAAACUUUACUGGAGAGUACCGAUCGUUGUGCCAAGCCUAAGUUGUCUGUUACUUUUUUUUAUAUAUAUGUUAUAUAUAAAAGUCUUCGUGGUUCUGGUUUCGUUCCAGGCUUUGGGGGAUUACACAAGGAUGAUCAGUGACUUUUCUGUAUUGCCAUCUGAAGUGAGAGAAGGACGGGUGGGAUCUUUUUGGUACCAUGAGGAUACACAAGCCUUUUUCGAUGAUGUUGAUCACUACAGGAUGAUCAAAGCAAUGUGCAGACUUUCUUGUAGUGUAUGUGACAAGAUGGAAGAGCAGUCGAAUGAGGGGGCGAAACGACGGGCAAAGUUUAGGAACAUUGAACAGUUGAAGGGUCAUUUGUUUCAUCGACAUAAAUUGGUUAUGUGCAGCCUGUGUUUGGAAGGACGGAAGGUAAGUUGUUCAAAUGAAAAUAUGACCAUUCUGUUUCGUUAAAACUGUAAACCCAUUGUUCUUUUUGAAGUGUCUUUGUUUGUACAUCAAUAAAAGCUGGCUGUAUGCAUCAUUAGCUCACUGGUUUCCUUUGGAUGAUGUAGGUGUUUAUCUGUGAACAAAAGCUAUAUACUAGAGCACAGCUAAACCAACAUAUAAACACGGGUGAUUCUGAGGUGGAUGGAACUGAAAGUGAGAGAGGUGGCUUCAUGGGGCAUCCAAUGUGUGAAUUCUGCAAGACCCCAUUCUAUGGGGAUAAUGAGUUAUACUCUCACAUGUCCACAGAGCACUAUACAUGUCAUAUAUGCCAAAGGUACUCAGGCUAUUCUUGGUACUGAUUUUUGCAAUACACCUUAAAGCAAGUGGGCUUACUUUUGCUUGUUCAAUGUUCAAUGCAGGCAGCAUCCAGGACAGUAUGAAUAUUACAAGAAUUAUGAUGACCUUGAGGCAAGAUGACUCCUAUAUUUCUUUGCUUUUCUUUUUUAUUUCUUUUUCUCCUCUUAAAGUUAAAGUCAAAUGUCAUUUUGGAAAUUGUCUGCCACAGAUUCAUUUUCGCCGAGAUCAUUACCUAUGUGAGGAUGAGGCUUGCCUUGCCAAAAAGUUUAUUGUCUUUCAGUCUGAAGCUGAACUAAAGGUGACUUCUUCGAGCAUAUAAAUUAUGUGCAUAAUAUAUUUUGUUUGAUUAUGUCCUAGUAUAGCUCAAGUUUUCCUUUUCUCAUAAACUGUUCUUAUUGUUUUUCAUUUUUGUUCUUUCAGAGGCAUAAUACAAUGGAACAUGGAGGUCGCAUGUCUCGUGCACAGCGUAAUGCUGCUCUACAAGUAUGUAUAAUCCGUCUGAUCAAAGGACUUCUCAUAAGUUGAAUUUCCUAAUUGAUUGUAUCCACUGAUGAGUUGGUUACUUUUUGUGGUUUUGUUAAUUGAUUGUACUUUUUCCAGAUACCAACAAGCUUUCGAUAUCGUCGAAGUAAUGAAGAUAAUCGCCGUGGAAGAGGACGGACAUUUCGGCGUGAGCUGUCUGAUAACGACUAUCAACUUUCCAUGGCCAUUGAGGCAAGUUUGGGGACUGCUGGUGAUCUGCAAGCAUCAUCUACCGCACAGGUGGUCUCUGAUCAUGCAGAUACAAAUGAUAUUGACGCACUUGUUCAGCCUUUUGAAUUAUUAUCUACAACAGAUUCUGAAUCAUCGGCAAGAUACCUUCAAGCAUUGGGGGGAGGCUCCAGGGGUGCACCUUUGCAAGAAUCUUCUUUUCCUCCUCUCCCCAUUGGUCCCAGCACCAGCCAACAAAAGCCUAAACGUAGCUCAGAAGGUUUGGCUAACAACACCAUGGCAGCACAUCUACGGUGCCGGAAGAAUGGGAAUACAAAUGUUUUCAAUUC